UACGGAGGGUGCGAGCGUUGUCCGGAAUCAUUGGGCGUAAAGGGCGCGUAGGUGGCGGGACAAGCGUGCGGUGAAAGCUCGGGGCUCAACCCCGAGUCGGCCGUGCGAACUGUCUUGCUUGAGCACUGUAGAGGCAGGCGGAAUUCCGGGUGUAGCGGUGGAAUGCGUAGAGAUCCGGAAGAACACCGGUGGCGAAGGCGGCAUCCUGGACCGGCAUUGACGCUGAGGCGCGAAAGCCAGGGGAGCAAACGGG
rnacentral:rRNA from 1 species